GAUGAACGCUGGCGGCGUGCUUAACACAUGCAAGUCGAACGGAAAGGCCCAAGCUUGCUUGGGUACUCGAGUGGCGAACGGGUGAGUAACACGUGGGUGAUCUGCCCUGCACUUCGGGAUAAGCCUGGGAAACUGGGUCUAAUACCGGAUAGGACCACAUUUUGGAUGGUGUGGUGGAAAGUUUUUCGGUGUGGGAUGAGCUCGCGGCCUAUCAGCUUGUUGGUGGGGUAAUGGCCUACCAAGGCGUCGACGGGUAGCCGGCCUGAGAGGGUGUACGGCCACAUUGGGCCUGAGAUACGGCCCAGACUCCUACGGGCGGCAGCAGUGGGGAAUAUUGCACAAUGGGCGCAAGCCUGAUGCAGCGACGCCGCGUGGGGGAUGACGGCCUUCGGGUUGUAAACUCCUUUCGCUAGGGACGAAGCGCAAGUGACGGUACCUGGAGAAGAAGCACCGGCUAACUACGUG
rnacentral:rRNA from 1 species